GACGAACGCUGGCGGCGUGCUUAACACAUGCAAGUCGAACGGAAAGACCCUGCUGUUGUGGGGUGCUCGAGUGGCGAACGGGUGAGUAACACGUGAGUAACCUGCCCUUGACUUUGGGAUAACUUCAGGAAACUGGGGCUAAUACCGGAUAGGAGCUCCUGCUGCAUGGUGGGGGUUGGAAAGUUUCGGCGGUUGGGGAUGGACUCGCGGCUUAUCAGCUUGUUGGUGGGGUAGUGGCUUACCAAGGCUUUGAGGGGUAGCCGGCCUGAGAGGGUGACCGGCCACAUAGGGACUGAGAUACGGCCCAGACUCCUACGGGAGGCAGAAGUGGGGAAUAUUGCACAAUGGGCGGAAGCCUGAUGCAGCAACGCCGCGUGCGGGAUGACGGCCUUCGGGUUGUAAACCGCUUUCGCCUGUGACGAAGCGUGAGUGACGGUAAUGGGUAAAGAAGCACCGGCUAACUACGUG
rnacentral:rRNA from 1 species